rnacentral:lncRNA from 1 species
UAGCGGCUAGUCCUGGAGUGGAGUAGAGAUUCAGACAGCCAGGCCAGCCCUGGUCUAAGGGGUGAAAGACUGCUGCAGCCCUUUAGACAAUGGAAAGAGAGGGGGCGAUGGGGAAACACACAUAGCAACUCUCCUAGAAAGUGGAAUUUAAAUUAGACGGCUGAUCUAUGUCCCCAAUAACCUAGGCUAGUUGUGUUACUCACGGACUCACUGAUCGCCAAGCAAGGAUAUUGAAUGGUGUGAGCAACUGAAAAAGGACCACCUGUUUCCUGUGUUGUAAUAAAGGCCUGUAUUGUGUUAAGAACACAUUUACUGAAGUCAGUUUCUUGACUAGACGAGUUAAACAAAUAGCUGUAAUUGAAUGGUAUGAAAAUCAAUAUUGCGCGGAUCUGAUUGUAAAGCGGUUUGAUUUGACUAUUUUCAAGGUAUAAACUGACUCCUAUCAUUUUCUAAAAUCUCAGUCCUCCAACAUUACAUAAUGGCCACAGCUAUGUUGUUUUGCCUUAUUGUCCCUUUAGUAGCAGUGUGCCAGUAGACUCCCUAGUGCGGUGUCAGUCAAUCCGCUCCCCCCUCCACUCUGUCCUGUUUACCCUCUUUUUUCUUCCACAUGUCCCCUGAUUGCUGAGACAACAGGCUAUUCUCCCUGUAAACAACCAGAGGGACACAGACACCAGUCCUGACGACCCUCUCCCAGCUCUCUUUCCUCUCACUCAAAUGGUGCUGGAGAGGAACAAGACAUAGGAGGGACUCACUUAAUUAGCUGGACGAGAAAAUGCAUUGUGGCAAUUACCCAGCACAAAGAGGCAGGAACGUAUAGCCUGUUCAUUUGGCGUGAGGUGGCAGGACUCAGCCAGGAAUGCAUUUUCCUGUUGCCUGGACUCCCCCGGCCUUUAAUGUGCAGAGAGAAGCAGCAACAAUGGAGCCAGAGAUGUACUCCACAGUAGAACCACUUCCAGUCCUUUCAGAGAAGGGACACCACAUUCUAGUAUCUUAUUGGUUGAAAUGCAUGUCGAACUGAAGCCUAAAAGCAUGGGGCUGCGAAUAAGGUUUGCUGUGGUAAUUCACGCAUCUGAUAUCAUGGUCAUUCAUUUUCCCUGCAGUGUUAUUUCACUGCAGAUGUUGACUGGCAGGAACAGGUACAGUGAUACAUGUUCUACGAUUCUUCUCUUCCCCCAUCACUCCAUCACUUCAUGUGGUGCUCCUGGGCCUGCUAUUUCUAUUUCUACUGCCUCUGAGUGGGUUGAUUUGGCAUGUUCAAUCAACUGGGCUGCCAAAUCCCUGUUAAGUGUUGCAGAGCCAUAUCUGUCUGUGCCCUUGUUGUGCUAUGUUACCUGGAUUCCUUAACUGUCCCCUAAAUAUCCUCUAUAAAAGUCCCCCCUAAUGGAAUUAUCUGGUGCAUUUGUCAUUGGAUUUGAAUGGGCGGGUGUGCGUUGGCAUAAUGAGAGGACUUUGAUUUUGAAGUGCAUGAAGAAAGGCCUCUGGCUCACACACUUUACCUCCAGUACCUUCAGGGUCAUCCUCACCUAGCUCACCAUUCCCAUCUUCUCUGUCUCCACUCCUUUAUUUGUCCUCUUGUUCUUUGAGCCACUGGUCUCUCUCACCCUUCGCUCCUCCUUUGCCUCCUGCCGUCCCUCACACCUGAUCCUUUCAUCUACUCCUCCCUAAUCUCCUACUAAAACCCCUCCAUCCUCUCCUCCCCUCUCCCCUCUCUGUUACCCUCUACCCCUCGUUAAGUAUCACCCCAUGCUGCUCAUCCCUCUCUCUCCUUCUAUCCUCCAUUCUUAUCCUCCUUCUCUCCCUUUCCUCCUCUCUCUCUCUCUCUCUCUCUCUCUCUCUCUCUCUCUCUCUCCCCUUUCCUCUCUCUCUCUCUCUCUCUCUCUCUCUCUCUCUCUCUCUCUCUCUCUGUCCCUGUCUCUCUCUCGCUCUCUUGCUCUCUCGCUCUCUUGCUCUCUCGCUCUCUCGCUCUCUCUCUGUCUCUCUCUCUCUCUCUCUCUCGCUCUCUCUCUGUCUCUCUCUCUCUCUCUCUCUCUGUCUCUCUCUCUGUCUCUCUCUCUGUCUCUCUCUCUCUCUCUGUGUGUUUAAUUGAGUCAGUGAGCAGUUGACUGCCCCCGUCAUUGGUGGGGAGCGGGUUGGCCCAGCCCUCCCAGGAGGGGAGACAUUGUCUGGGCUGUCCCGCCGGUGUAAUCCCCUCCACCGGGACAAAGACCUGGUCCCCCUUCCCCACUGAAGGGCAUUGGCCCCCCCAACAAGAGCCCAACCCUGGCCCUGCCUGGCCUGGCCCAACGACUCCUCAUCAAACCCCCUGGUCCCCAGACUAGGCCUGGGUUUAGACUCUGGUCAAAAGUAGUGCUCUAUGUGAGAUCCCCAGCCACAAGUAACACCCGGAGAGGGGUCUCUGUCUCAUCAAAGGCCUGUUUACCUACUCACUGACUGAGAUACCCAUGGAGGUGGCAUUGUACAGUGAGGUACACAGUAAGUAGGUGUGGCUGUAUUUGGAUGUGAGUUCCAGGCACUAGUGAUGGUGGAAUAAGGAGCUUUCCAGGGAUUAUCCUUUAGGCUCAGGCAUAUAUUAAUGUUUGAAAUAUCAACAUAAAAAAAUUAUUAUGACAAGAAUUUACUAAUCAUGUGAGCUUGUGUCACAAGUAGUAUUAGUAAUAGCAGUUCUGUAGUAAUAUGAGGAAGAAACAUUUAUACAUGUUCACCGUCAUUUUGAUGUAGGCUGUGCAUGGGUAUGUAAAUACACACACAUGUACAUUUACACAGUUCAUCUAAGAUACUUAGCUCCUAAGCUCUUGCAGAACAGCCCCCACACCCUGCUAGCCUUCCACUAUCCCCUGUUCAUCUCUCUCCCUCUCCCUCUCUCUCUCUCUCUCUCUCUCACACACACACACACACGCACACACACACACUCACACUCACACUCAGGGAGAGAGGAGGCAAGGUUGCCAUGGGAACCACUGGUCAGAGUUUACCAGAGGGGAAACAAACAAAGUACUGUUCAUAAAAGCUGGAUAUAUAUAGUGUGCAGAUAUCCAGUGUGUUUGUCCGCAUGCGCAUUACGAUCCAUGUCCCUUUUUAUAGUGACAUCACUUCUACCACACAUUCACACACUGACAUCCUUUGUGAUUCCGUCUCUUGGAAUUCUGAGGUUUUGAAUCAAACGUUGAUUUUUGAUCUUUCCGAUUGACCUCAUAGAAAUACAUUGUCAUUGUUUCCCUACCUGCUAUUUGAAUCCUCAGUGAUUUGGUUACUCAAACACAAUGAUAUCUUCAAAAAACAUGAGCAUUGACAGAAAGAUGUGUCACAUACACAUGACAUAUCUCAUCAUUCACUCCUGAGCCUCUUCCACUUUCACUCUCAUAUUCUCUGUCUGUGUGUGUGUGUGUGUGUGUGUGUGUGUGUGU